UUGUGCCUACGGGGGGCAGCAGUGAGGAAUAUUGGUCAAUGGGUGGAAGCCUGAACCAGCCAAGUCGCGUGAGGGAAUAAGGCCCUACGGGUCGUAAACCUCUUUUGCCGGGGAGCAAGGGCGGGGACGUGUCCCGGCCCGGAGAGUACCCGGAGAAAAAGCAUCGGCUAACUCCGUGCCAGCAGCCGCGGUAAUACGGAGGAUGCGAGCGUUAUCCGGAUUUAUUGGGUUUAAAGGGUGCGCAGGCGGGCUGUUAAGCCGGCGGUAAAAAUUCAGGGCUCAACCCUGUCGAGCCGUCGGAACUG
rnacentral:rRNA from 1 species